rnacentral:rRNA from 1 species
GACGAACGCUGGCGGCGUGCUUAACCCAUGCAAGUCGAACGGAAAGGCCCUGCUUUUGUGGGGUGCUCGAGUGGCGAACGGGUGAGUAACACGUGAGUAACCUGCCUUUCACUUUGGGAUAAAUCCAGGAAACUGGGGCUAAUACCGGAUAGGAGCUCCUGCUGCAUGGUGGGGGCUGGAAAGUUUCGGCGGUUGGGGUUGGACUCGCGGCUUAUCAGCUUGUUGGUGGGGUAGUGGCUUACCAAGCCUUUGACGGGUAGCCGGCCUGGGAGGGUGACCGGCCACAUUGGGACUGCGAUACGGCCCAGACUCCUACGGGAGGCAGCAGUGGUGAAUAUUGCACGAUGGGCGGAAGCCUGAUGCAGCAACGCCGCGUGCGGGAUGACGGCCUUCGGGUUGUAAACCGCUUUCGCCUGUGACGAAGCGUGAGUGACGGUAAUGGGUAAAGAAGCACCGGCUAACUACGUG